UAGUAAGUAGCACGUUUGAUGAGCAUGU
rnacentral:piRNA from 1 species